CCCCCCCAGACUUAUUGGGGGCAAUUCCUGCUCACUGGAUUAAAGAGCUGCAGUGUUUCACCUGUACUAAGGUAGCAUAAUAAUUUGUCUUUUAAUUAAAGUCUCGAAUGAAAGGAUCGACGUGAGAUUCACUAUCCCUAAAAUUACCAAAACCUAAUUUCAAGUUAAAACUCUUGAAUUUCCUUGGGGGACGAUAAGACCCUAUAAAAUUUUACUACAUAAUCUAUGCACAGGUACUAACUUGACAAGUUUAACUGGGACGGUAGAAAUAAUGAAUCUGUUUCCAAAGCAAACACUUUAAGUGCUGUUCAAGACCCCGUAAGCCAAGAGACCAAAUUACUUUAGGGGUAACAGCGUAAUUCCAUGCAAAGCCCUUAUUAAACAUGAAGAUUGCGACCUCGAUGUUGAAUUAAGAAACCAACUAGGCGCAAAAGCUUAGUUUGGGGG
rnacentral:rRNA from 1 species